AUCGCUCGGCCUGGCCAAGAUCAAGUGUAGCAUCUGUUCUCACUUCAGUUUAAUAUCUGGAUAUGUCCCUCAUAAGGAGGACUACAUAUUAAGCAGAUUUUUGGCAUGAGGGGCAGAAACUUGAGAGCUGCCCCUUUCUCUUCCUCCACGCAUCGACCCAGCAUUGCAGUGUCACAAACGAAAAUCU